AGCGAACGCUGGCGGCAGGCCCAACACAUGCAAGUCGAACGGAUCCUUCGGGAUUAGUGGCGGACGGGUGAGUAACACGUGGGAACGUGCCCUUUGGUUCGGAACAACUCAGGGAAACUUGAGCUAAUACCGGAUGUGCCCUUCGGGGGAAAGAUUUAUCGCCAUUGGAGCGGCCCGCGUCUGAUUAGCUAGUUGGUGAGGUAAAGGCUCACCAAGGCGACGAUCAGUAGCUGGUCUGAGAGGAUGAUCAGCCACAUUGGGACUGAGACACGGCCCAAACCCCUACGGGAGGCAGCAGUGGGGAAUCUUGCGCAAUGGGCGAAAGCCUGACGCAGCCAUGCCGCGUGAAUGAUGAAGGUCUUAGGAUUGUAAAAUUCUUUCACCGGGGACGAUAAUGACGGUACCCGGAGAAGAAGCCCCGGCUAACUUCGUGCCAGCAGCCGCCGUAACAC
rnacentral:rRNA from 1 species